rnacentral:lncRNA from 1 species
AAGUUAUUUCUCCUUCCUUUUGAGGCUGUUCAUGGGAGGUCCCAAUUCCUUUAUAAGUAAAAAAUGGCACUGCCGAUAUGAUGGUCUCCUAAGUUGAUACAUCACAUUUAUCACAUCUUGGUUUUACGUAAACUUACAUGUAUGCUUCUCCUCACGUUGUUCAGAUCCACAAACUACUUUGAGGAUGAUGCCUUCUCUUAUGAUCAAUCCAGCUUUAAGAUGACUUCUUUACCUCCAGAUGAUGUCAAAAAAUAUUGGGAACAAGUACAAAGCAUUUUCGCCAAAGACCGGGAACAACUUUGGAAUGCCUUGACCGUAGGACUUAGUAAAUACUUCAAGAUAUUGAAAGACAGGCAGAAGGUGAGAUCAGAAAUUCAUAUUCUAGAAAAAGAAAACAAAGAGUUGAAAAAACUUCUCGGAAAACACCUCGGCCACUCCAAGGUGAAAACUGCACCCAGUAAAAGUUGUUUUCCACCUCUUCAAGAGCCAAGGGCAAAAAGCGCUACAAUAAUCAAUUACACGUUGUUUGAAGAACUUACCAAUCUGUGAUAUUUGUGCAAACACUGUGUACCUCAAGUUAUAUUAUUUUUAUUAAAGAAAAUCGAACCGUUCUCCAUAUUCUGUUUUUUUUCUCUAUUUAUUAUCGGCAUUGCAUCUCGUUUUGGAGUGAAUAGUAUCAAAAAUAUUUUAAAUCUAUACAUUGGGCAUUGGAAUAUGCAGAAUGUCUAUCCUAUUCCAACAGUUCGUUUGAAUAAGAAGAGUUACUCUAUUUUAUAGGAAAUUUCUUAGAAUUUUCCUCUUUGUGGACAUUGAAGGUGUAG